UACGGAGGGUGCAAGCGUUAUUCGGAAUUAUUGGUCGUAAAGCGCGUGUAGGCGGGGGAGCAAGUCUGAUGUGAAAGCCCUGGGCUUAACCCGGGAAGUGCAUUGGAAACUGUUUCUCUUGAGUACUGGAGAGGAAGGGGGAAUUCCCGGUGUAGAGGUGAAAUUCGUAGAGAUCGGGAGGAAUACCAGUGGCGUAGGCGCCUUUCUGGACGGUUACUGACGCUGAGACGCGAAAGCGUGGGGAGCAAACAGG
rnacentral:rRNA from 1 species